rnacentral:lncRNA from 1 species
AAAAAAUGAACAGAUAGAAAAGGUUAGAUGGCAAAACAUGUAACCGGCAACUGUUAUACUCACCAUUAUAAUUUUGAACCUUUAGCCUUCUUCCAAUAAGAACAGGAUAGUUCUGAAUUUCCGAAAUAAUCUUGGAGCCUUCAUUGUCAAUAAAAGCAUUCCACAUAGACAGCAUAAGUGUCUGCAAUCUGACAUAUUUGAAACAGAAAACUAUUAUUUUUUUGUUUGGAAAAGGCUGCAAUUGCAACACCAGAUAGUCAUUGUAUACAAAAGCAAAGAUUCCUUACUCUUCAUUAAC